UAUAUACACAAUCAGGUCUUUCUCAGGUUCAUUUUGACGUCACCUUUAUGUCUUUGCCAAUAUCCCGUUCUCAUAAGUAAAUCUAAUCAAGAGACCAAUCAAGCUUUUACGAUCUGAUGACCACGUAUUUGCGUUCUUUUAAUAAGUACACAUUUGCACGUUUUACUGCGGGAAUCCUCACGGAAGCUUCUAGACAACAAAAAGAGUUUUUCAAGUCACCGCAUGCAUAAAGUUCUGUUGUUAAGUGAUAGCCAUCUAUGUGGUUGUGCAGCUCAUGAAAGUUUUUUUGAAUGAUCAGCUUGAAGUACUUCGUUAUGGUCAUCAGAGAAUUGUGCUUUGUGAGCUGGAGCUCACAAAGCGAAGUCGGGUCUUCCAUCAGACCCUCGAAAGCAAAUGACAGAACACCCAAAUGGAAUAAGGAACUACAGACAGCUUUAAGAUCUGGAACUGUAGGAGCACAGGACACUUUUGUGAGUUCUGUCCCCAUUGACUGGAAGAAGAAAGGGUAAUACAUUUACAGGCCACUCGGGAUGAUCAACCUUCAGGAGGAAGCAAAAGUCAGAAUUCUAGAGUGAGAAGAAACAUCCACUGCUUAGGUUAUGGCAUGGUAAAUGUGUAAUCAUUCAUUAAUAUGAAACAGUCGGUAACUGUAAACUGUAAAGAGCGUGAAUUAGCAACAGCACCAUAAUUACUUGUAGUUAGGAUCUGUAAGAGUCCAUCAGGUGUAUCUCACAAUGUAUUGGUCUGUAUAAACUGGUAUUCUCAUUUCAUUCAACAACAUACAGUAUUAAAUUAAUUGACUGUGAACUUGUAUCCAAGACUUUGCAAAUACAGCUCUCUCUCUGUGGAAUUAUACAAAGGAAAUGCAUAUUUUUAUUCAAUUUCUGCUAACAUCAUUUGUAGUCAUUACCUGAAUUGGGACCACUGCCCCCAGCAGCCGCUGCUUCUCCUCUUUGCAUUUCAUCUCUAUAGUUUUUCCUAUUCAAUGACAAGGCAAACACAAUCUUCCAACUUUCUGCAGUUGCAUGUCCUCAUUUUGCAAGAUAUUUUAGAUGUCACCUUCAUUUAAUUGUGUGUUGCCAAGUACUCUUUGACCUGGGCCCAUAGGAGCUCUGGAGGGUUUCAGCUCACAAUGAUGUGAAUCACACGAGUACAGUCUUAAUCUGAGCUUGACCAUUUUGUAUCACUUAUCAUGAAUAGAUUUCUACACGUAUGAACAGUAAGGUCUAUCAAGUUUAAUGUGAGAAUAUAAGAGACUUGCCUUCUGAUGACAAUGGCCAGCAGUGGUCAAAAUGUAAAGUGUCUUUUAGAUUAUCAUAUUAACCUUGCUGCACCUGACACGCCUUACUGCUCAUUCAUGUAUUAAAAUUGUAAAGGCUCAGGAUGUCUCUUAUGAAGAAAUACCUCUGUAUUUACAAACCAGACCAUCACCACCACCUUCGAGUUAUUUGCUCUCAUAGCACUUGAUCUGAGCCAGUUUACUCUUUUUGUUCCAAGGUGUAAACAACUGUCCCGCCUUCACCGCAUGAUACACCACAGUCACUUACAGUCAUUUCCUCUUGGCACUCUUCUGUGAAUGUGAGCCACAUCCACUCCACAGACCUAACCUAACCAUAAAUUCCUCUUCACUGCCAUAAUACACAACAAUUAGCUCUCUCUUUCCUUUUCCACGGGGAUUUUUCUAUCAUAUUGAAAUGCCUUUCAGGAAUGCGCCCUUUGUGGACCACCUCCCUGCUGCCAAACCAUCUACUUGACACAAUUUAACACCUUGGAGACACCAUCAAUGCCUCAACAAAACACAGUAAAAGACUAUAAAUAUCAGAUAUCACUGUGACUUGUACUUCCAGAAAUGAGAACUCUGUGUGGUCUAAAAAUAUUGUAACCUCUCACAUUCUUCCAUUGUGGCAUCACAAAAAUUACUUCACAGAUCACAUCUGAACCAUGUUUUAAACAUGUCUGAAGUCCUAGUGGUUUUCAUUUUUGUGUAAGUAUAUUACAAAUUGGGCAACAGAACAAAGAACUGGGAUUUUAUUCUAAGGGGGGUCAAGAGGUUCUCCUCUCGAAACCAUCCAGAAUGGCUCUGGGGCCCCACCCAGCCUAUCCAAGGGAUAUCAGGAGCUCUUUCACCUGGGGUAAAGUGACAGAGGCAUGAAGCUUACCACUCAUCUCCACCCAGUGCCAAGGGCAGCAAUGUAUAUAUUAUACCUUUGCUCUCCCAUAUGUCCUUAUGGGUGGUGCCCAAUUAAAAACCCAUCUACUCUACAAACAAGGGAAUAUUAUACCCCUUGUAGCCAACAUUUCUUGAGAAAAGUCCUGUAUAUGUAUGUCUGCAUUUCACACUGACGUGUAGUACGCUGAAAACAGAAUCUAAUUAUGAUCCAAUGCAAACAAAUGCUCUAUAUCACUAACUACUGAUAAUGGAUCCUUGAUCCCAUUGAUGAAGUAUAAGUAUGCACAGGGCAAAUUUUUUUAACGUUACCUAACAAUGUUACAAAGCUUCUGUUACUUGGGGUUAUCCAUAUUUAUUACCUGGUCUAUUUACUUGGGAAAGAAUUGGGAUCAUGGAAUGAAGAUACAAAAAAUAAAAGGUCUGAGUAUGUACAAAUAAUAGUGUAUUGAUUCCCCAUUCCAUCACAACAUACAGUAGUUUUACUAAAUGACCAUAAAAGGGCAAGUUAGAUUAAUUUAGUUCAUGAUUUUUUAAUUAAACAAUACUCAUGGUUGUAACGUGUGUUGUCAUGUGGAGAAGAAAUACCAGGUUCUAUAUGGAGUCUGAUUAGAAUCCUUCAAUUACAUUCCUUUUCAUAUUAAUCUGUGCCAACUAAUAUUUCCUUGUGCAGUUUGAGAUUGUCAUAGCAGUGUCCAGUCUUCUGGGAUGUGAUGCAAGAUAGCCCAGUAGCAGUUUACUGACAUUUUGGAGGAACUUUCUGCUUGCUUCCCCUUAAUCUUUGACAUUGAAAUGCUGGUAUACCUAUACUAAACAAUACAGCAUCACAUCCCAAAGAACUCAAAAUUUCCUUUACUGAAGGGCAAUUCAAACAUGUAUCAAGAAUCAGAAACACAGCAACUUGUCAAACUUGUCAAGAGAUUCAAAAAAAGACUUUGGCUGCUGACCUAACUCCAUGGAGUGGACCUUUUGAAGCCAACAACAGUCUGUCAGCUAGUUAAGAAAUUAUGGGCAUUUCAUGGAACCCAGAAGUUCACUGUUGUGUUCACAAGAGCCCACCACUGGUCCACUACCUCCAGCCAGGUCCACAAAUUCCAAUUCUGUUUUUGUAAGAGCCAAUAUUAUCCUCCCAAUUAUAUCCAUUUCUUUCUUUCAGUUUUCUUUCCAAAACUCUGUAUGCAUUUCUCUUUCCCACCCCCCAAUGCACACCUUACAAUAUGCCAUGGCCACUUCCUCCCCAUUCCUUUAAAGUCCACUGAUGUGACUAAAACAGGAAAGUCACAGCUUUAUCUAUUAUUUGUACAGAUGGAGCAUGAUCAAAGGGAUAACUAUCUCUGCCCUUAAACAGAAGCAUAAUGAAACACAAAAGAUUUUUUCAUGUAUUGAGAUUUCAUUGUUUAAAGUGCUGUGUGAUUGUGUAAAUAUCCCUGCUUCAAGAUAUCUAUCAUAAAAUGGCAUUUCUAAGAUCACUAACACACAAAUCCACAAUUAAUUAUCUACAAAACCAUAAGACUUGUGGAAAAGUGUACAGCAAAUGGAAUUUAUGUAUAUUUUCCCUGCACAAUUUGCAUUAUCAAAUGCAUUGUGCUCUGAUGAGCGUUUAGUUGAGUUAUGGUCAAGUUGCACACUGAAAUGGAUAUUGGUCUUAACAUAGGGCAUGCGUUACUGCUGUCAAGUUUUAACCAAAAGUUGAACAUGCUGACAGAUUUUAGUCAACUCUUCCAUAUCAAA